UCACCUCUCAAGCCCCUCGGGUUUGGCCUUGGAGGUCGGUUGGGCUUCGCCCGACCCCUCCCAAAGACAAUGACGGCGGCUUUGUCUGACCCCCGGUACACUGAGCUUCUUAACCGAGCACGUACCGGAACGAGGGUCGGCGGGUCACGGUCUCCUCCCUUUGCAGGGAAAUUUUCUCA
rnacentral:misc_RNA from 1 species